CCCUGCGCAAGGAUGACACGCAUAAAUCGAGAAAUGGUCCAAAAUUGUUUUGCUCUUUUCUGCCAAAUUUUUUUUGCCUCUCCACAACGUUUCCCACAAUCCCAAAGGCCACAGCGGUAGUUCAAUGCAGUUACAGAGGCUUUAGAAGCUAUACGAACUAUGAGCAUUUUGCAUUUGAAGCCUUCGAUGGUUCGGUGGCUUAGUCUUUGAUCUUCCAGGCCCCUUGAGCUCUCAAGCUUGCACUCAUGAAUCUUUCGAAAGUCCAUACUGUCUGUUACUUCGAAAACCAUGAAGCUGAUGGAUCGUUCGAAGUAAUUGUCGGAGUUGCUUCAGUUUGGGAACUAGAAGGUAGUGAAAGCCAUACCACCUUUUUUUUCACAAGGUAAUCAACUCAAAACUGAAGCCUUUACCACUUUGACAUAUAGUUGGCCUUUUGUAUCAAAAGUCUGCUUGCUUGAGGCAUGUUGGCACUUCACAUAUUUUCCUUAACAAUAUCGCGAUGCAAAUUCUGGGAUACGCCCCAUACAAGUUUCUUUUACUUUCCUUAGGGUUGCAAAGAUUAGAAAACUGAGCACAAAACUGGAGUGCAUCUUAACAAAGACCUCUAGAGGAAACAAAGGUAGAAAGAAAUUUGACUGUACAUAUUGUGUUCUUCAUUAUAUGCUGUGGUUAGAAAAGAUUACAAGGACAGAGGCCUAGCAGAAGAAAGAAAACAAUAAUAUUACAAGAAA